CCUACGGGAGGCAGCAGUGAGGAAUAUUGGUCAAUGGACGCGAGUCUGAACCAGCCAAGUAGCGUGCAGGAUGACUGCCCUCCGGGUUGUAAACUUCUUUUAUAUGGGAAUAAAAUGUUGCACGUGUGCCCUUUUGUGUGUAUCCUAUGAAUAAGGGUCGGCUAACUCCGUGCCAGCAGCCGCGGUAAUACGGAGGAUCCGCGCGUUAUCCGGAUUUAUUGGGUUUAAAGGGAGCGUAGGUGGAUUGUUAAGUCAGUUGUGAAAGUUUGCGGCUCAACCGUGAAAUUGCAGUUGAUACUGGCAGUCUUGAGUACAGUAGAGGAGGGCGGAAUUCGUGGUGUAGCGGUGAAAUGCUUAGAUAUCACGAAGAACUCCGAUGGCGAAGGCAGCUCACUGGACUGCAACUGACGCUGAGGCUCGAAAGUGUGGGUAUCAAACAGGAUUAGAUACCCUGGUAGUC
rnacentral:rRNA from 1 species